AAUGAACGCUGGCGGCAGGCCUAACACAUGCAAGUCGAGCGAAGCCUUCGGGCUUAGCGGCGGACGGGUGAGUAACGCGUGGGAACGUGCCCUUUGCUUCGGAAUAGCCCCGGGAAACUGGGAGUAAUACCGAAUGUGCCCUACGGGGGAAAGAUUUAUCGGCAAAGGAUCGGCCCGCGUUGGAUUAGGUAGUUGGUGGGGUAAUGGCCUACCAAGCCGACGAUCCAUAGCUGGUUUGAGAGGAUGAUCAGCCACACUGGGACUGAGACACGGCCCAGACUCCUACGGGAGGCAGCAGUGGGGAAUCUUAGACAAUGGGGGAAACCCUGAUCUAGCCAUGCCGCGUGAUCGAUGAAGGCCUUAGGGUUGUAAAGAUCUUUCAGGUGGGAAGAUAAUGACGGUACCACCAGAAGAAGCCCCGGCUAACUCCGUGCCAGCCGCCGCCGUAACAC
rnacentral:rRNA from 1 species